UACGUAGGUGGCAAGCGUUGUCCGGAAUUACUGGGCGUAAAGGGCGUGUAGGCGGCCUUUUAAGUCAGACGUGAAAGCUCAGGGCUUAACCCUGGGACUGCGUUUGAGACUGAGAGGCUUGAGGAUCGGAGAGGACAGUGGAAUUCCCAGUGUAGCGGUGAAAUGCGUAGAUAUUGGGAAGAACACCAGUGGCGAAGGCGGCUGUCUGGACGACACCUGACGCUGAGGCGCGAAAGCCAGGGGAGCAAACGGG
rnacentral:rRNA from 1 species